AUGGAAAGGAACCGCCGAACCCCAAGGAAGGCGACGAAGGGGGAAAGAACACCCAGAACCACAAUGAAGCCCCCCGCCGACGGCCCCGCUCCCCCUAAUGGCGUCUUCUUCCUCCUACGUCACGCGCCGCCCGGUCACGCGCACCACCCCGGCCGCCAAUGGAAGGGGUGGACGCGACAACGGAGAGAGGCUCCGCCCUUCACCGCUCCUCUCCCCUCUCCUCAGCGGCCCUUGGGCGGGGCCUUCGACAGAGCGAGGCGGAGUCGGGCGGCAGCUCUUCGUCCUGCUCCUCAGGCGGCCCCGGUGGCAGGAUGGUGCUCGGUUCGUUCAUGGUGCUGCGUGGGUGCUUGCACGGCCGCGGGAGCUGCUGUGCGAGCUGAAUGGAAGGAGAAGGUAAGAUCAGGCUCAGAUUAAGGUUGCCAGAGACAAUGGAAAUCAUUGCUCAAGAGGAGGAGGUGCUUGCGGGGCCCAGCAUGUUGAGGCUUUCCUGGAUAGCUAGUGACAAGUGCAUCUCCUGAGACACAGGGCUGUAUGGAAAGAAGUCUUGAAAACUGCUAGCAAAACAACUUCCUGUUCUUGUAGCUUUUUACUGUUUUCAACAAAAGCAGGUUCUGUACAUAUCUUCCAGAGAGAAAAAAGCUGAAGCUUAGAAAAGGAAACAGGAGAGACACCCUCUGUGAAGUCCAUAUGCUGAAUGCACCUGUAAACACUGGUUUCCUAACAGAGAGCACAGCAAAGCGUAAGGCACCAAAUUAAGCUCAGUCCUGCAAACUGUUUCUCCAAGGACCCUCUGCUGUGGUGCAGCCAGAAAAUGCAUCUUCCCACUGACAGUUGGCUGCUGUGAGUAACUGCUGUAUUCCAUCAUUUCUGUUUUCCUCUCACCAGGAGCCUCUGAUUACUGUUUGUUGUAUGAGAAGUCCUGUGCCUUCCAAAACUUCAGCUGCCAAUACUAAAUGAAAUUAAAAGGCCCAUCUCUCUGAGAACAGAAAAUUCUGUCACAGCUACCUGAAGCAUCGCAUUUCACUAUAAUCUGAUACCUAUGACUUACUAAGUCUGCAGGUUCACCAUUUGUGGAAGAUAUCAAGUUACUUUAUUUUAAUAGUGUUUACUUAUAUGCGAAUUGUGUAUUUUAUUUCAACGUAUUUGAGAAGACAACGCCUCUUUCAUUUAACUUUGUGUACUUCCUCUUUUUACAUAGCUUCCUAAAAAUACUUUUACAGACCUCCUGUUUUAAAUAUGUUGCUGAUGAUAUCUGCAUGAAAAAUGCCUUUUGAGACAUAAUUUCUAUUUCACAAAUAAACUACAAUACCCUACAAGUUAUUAUAUCAAACCAAAUUGUGCCAUUGUAUCCAUUGCCAUUACUUUUUAUCAUUCUUGGUAAGACUCUACUCCAGCUUUUUACUUCACAGGCAACAUCAUCUCUGAAAGUGAAAAUCAUAUGCUUCUUUCAGCUUGCAUUAUUAGGUGUCCUUAUAAAAGUAUGAUAUGUUUUAAUUCCACUGUAAACUUAAAUGCUUGUAGUAGCUGUAUGGAGGAGAUACCCUAGUUGGUCAAACCUACAACUUCAACACCUCCUGUGCCAUUGGCAACACACAACUGAUUUCUGGGAUAAUUACAGGUUUCCUGUAAAUUAUAAAGGUGGCAGUUGUUUUGCAGAUAGUGUCACUCUUAUAUUUGCAUUUUUUGCCUUGGAAUGUAGUUCUGAG
ensembl:lncRNA